GGUGUUGGUAGAGGUGUAGAUGUCAACACUGGUGGCAGAGCAGCUUCUGGUGUUUCUUCCAAUGCUGGCGGUGGUUGUGGUGAUGGAGGUGGCACAGCAGCUUCUGGUGUUUCUUCCAAUGCUGGCGGUGGUUGUGGUGAUGGAGGUGGCACAGCUGCUUUGACGAGAAUAGAUGGGAAAUCAAGGACUACAAUCUUGUCAAUGGCUGCACUGAAGGUGGGGCAGAACUCAAGGUGUUUAGGAUGGGUAAGAAAUGAAGUGAUGGCUUCUUUGUCAUCAAAUGUCAUUGAGAAGACGUGUGUGAAGCCUUGUGUCAGCAUGUCUUGGCCUUCCACAUCAUGUCCCCUGUCCAAAGCCAAGCAGUAGUAUAUUUGCAUUACCCAUUGUUCAAGUUCCAAACAUCACUUGCAAGGGAUAACACUCUAUGUUUUUUUUCAAAAGCAUUUAAUUUUGAACUUUAAUCAAUUAAAUAAAUCAACUAUUAGUAGGGUACUGUCUCUAUCUAAAUUGAAGUAUCCAUCGACUAGAAUCCAAAGGAGAACACAAAAUUGUUACAAUUAUUAUAACUUGGAAUCAGAUAUAACAACAUGGAUUAACAGGAUGAGAGGGGAGUUUAGAUGAGAGAGAGAUACCACUCAAAGGACUUGACAGAGUCAAUAUCAGAAACCAUCUUCUCCACUUGCGCAACAAUUUCAUCCACAUUCAGACCCUCCUUAAACUUGGCAACAACAAGGUGCUUGAACUCGCCCAUGGCUGUCUACAAAGACUGGAAAUGUGAGAAGAAGGUGGAUUGAAGAACAGAAUUUAUACAGAGGCAUUUCACCGAAACUUAGCGUGGAGUUAGAGAGUAACUGGGUUUUUCCCCCUCUGUCCGCUGACACAAGACCACGUUCCAUUUUCGCGGUUGGGUUUUGAAGCAAUCAAUCGCCUAAAAAUGGCUAUGGGGCUAUGGGGCUAAUGGGCUAUGGGUAAUGGAGUAAUUGUUGGCUUUGUUUCCAUGUUGAUAGUUGACUGCAUCAGGUGUGUACAAGGACUAAGGGAGAAAGGACCCACAAGGUCAGUGGCUUGAGCCGCACGGUUGGACUUGGACCUACCCUUCCCUGCUUUGGAAUCUCUCUCUCUUCAUCUCCUCUCGCCUCUCACUCCUUAACCCAUAAUUGAAUAGACAAUGGUUUGUGUGCUCCCCAUCUUUCCAUACAAACAAAUAAGAAUAAUGUUUAGAAAAAAUAGCCGCACGUCAGAUCUUUACAAGUUUUUUCCUAAUUGAAAGAGAUAACACUUGAACUCAUCAAUCAUCAUUCAUCAUUCAUCAUCAUGCACCUGCCCAAAAUCUACAUCUAUACUCCUCUUUCAUGGUCUACUUACCGAUUAUUUUUUUUUAUAAAAGUAUGUACGGAACAAUUGAACUUUUUAUAAACCAUUAUAUUAAGUUUUGUACUGGGUACACGACUAAAUUAUCAUGUUUGCAAUUGAUUUGUCAAUGUGGUAGCCACUACUGUCAUGUUGUCCAAUUUGCAUGAAGUCAUGGAUUGGGUACUCGAUUUCAAUGCCAUGUCGUGUAUCCGACCCUUGACUUAAAGGUGGAUUUGUGUUUUGGCUACUCGACUUCGUCAACUUGAAAAACCUAUCCUGCUUCUACCUUUCUGUUAUGUCUCUGCCAAUUACGUCUCCAGCCAAAAGAACUAUUCCCUCCACUUCUACAGCUACCGUAUUCAUAUUGUUGUUGUCGUUGCCAUCUCAUUGUUUGACAUUCAUUUGCUGCCAUUUAUUUUGGUUUAUAAAAAAUAAAUCUAUUUGUAUAAUUUAUUUGUUUUAUCAUUCUACUUAUAUAAAUGUAUUCAUUAUGAAUGAAACAUUAUGUAUGUAUUAAUUGUUGGACUGACUAGAAAAAUAGCAUAUUCGAAAGUUUAAUUUGGAUAAAUAGCAAAGUUUAAUUUAAAUCGAAAAAUCUAAAGAAAAAUUGCAAUGGCAAUGUCUUAAAUGUCCCUAAUCUAGUGAAAAAACUAGCAUUCAAACAUUCAACAAAAAGAGGUUCAUCGAAAAAGAUUCAUCUAACCCUCCAAAACUCUUCAAACCUAAAACGAUUCCAACUUUCAGCUUCGUUUUCCUCAAACUCACAUCUAGUGGUUACUAUUUUGUGGUUCGGUCUUAUGCAAACUUAUUGCAUAGAAUACCCUCACUCGCAUGUCACCUACACAAACACGUUGGAUCAUUGUACUUAUAUCUGAUAAAAAGUAAGCUAUAUCUCUAUAGGGUCUUUUGAUCUCAAACAUUAGCGCUUAUUUCUAGAUAUCGACUUCUAGAGAUCGAACCACAUCACAUCAAAUCAACAAAAAAUACAGCAUUAACUCAAGUUCAACUCCAUAAAUCAAAUUUCUCCGAAAAGCUCGUGUGAACAACUGUCAAUAAUUUUAUUUAUGACAGAUUGUAACUCUCGUCGUAGUUCAUUUUUCUUGUGGUGCUUUAAAACAUAUGACAAUGUAGAUGGUACAUAAGAGGCAAGAGGGAAUGACAUAUGACAAUGGAUAGUAGUACUCUUCAAGACAUAUAACAACGUAAAUGAAAUAUGGAGUGAGUGAUACAUGACCGUGAACAUUAACCAUAAUAACGAGCCCUAUUUAGUAAUAUUUAUAAUAGAAUAAGUGUAUAACACACAAAUUAUUCUAAUAAAUAAAUAAAAGAAAUAGCACACAAAUAAAACCUUUUUAGCUAAUUAUUUUUAUGUGUUGUGUGAGUGCCCUCUUGGGCAGAUUGAAUCCCAAACCAAAACAAAACUUUUCAUUACUAAUUUUUACACACUUGAAUUUUCAAACAGAGACUAAAAAUAUAAAAUCUCUUUCACUACAACAAUGUUUUGAUUCCCACCCUUUCAUUUUCUUGUGUUUAGAGUCUUAGACCCUAUGUUAAUUAGGUUUCUAACUUCAUAUUUCUUAUUCAAAUAAUUAUUACUUCUUAAAUCCAUCUUCUAUACUCAUCCCAUCGUCUAAUUUCAUUAAUAUGACUUACUCAUACAACUGAUCCAAGAAUUUCUUGUUCUACUUUGGAAAAGUUUAAACGCUGGGAAAAUGAUAUAAAUUUGAUAGCUCUUCAAAGAACGACCGGGAAAAUGAUAUAAAUAUGAUAGCUCUUCUAAGGACUUAUACAAUCGGUUAUUCAAACAGUAGUUAAGACUUUAGACUUUUUUCCUACAUGCUUAUAGUUGUUUUUCCUGUUCAGUUUUAAAUUGUCAUGAAUUUAAUUUAGAUUUAAACUUGAUUCCAACCUCAUCGUUAACUUAAUCUAAAUCAUUAAUUCUACAUGUAACAUUCAUUUACUUUUCUCGUCGAUUCUCCAAAUCAUUCCUCUCUACCGAGUAGAUGUUCGAAGUGAGUGUUAUAAUAACUUUUCGAAACAACCGACAUAAGUGACUCUCACUAAAGUCUUUGCUAAUUUCAACGUAGUGGUUUUCAUAGCACAACGCUCUAGCUUUGUAAUCAACGACGAAUAACAAAUACUUUUUAACUUUUUAAAAUACAAUGUUAGUCGUAAAAUUUUGAGAUGGAAGCUAGGGAGAGGAGAGUAAGUACGAAUAGGGUAAUCUCCCAUAGAUUAAGCUAGAGAGUGAAGACUAUUUAAUAGUCGGAGAAAACUAAAGAGAUAAGUUACAAUAUUUGUUCUAUUCAUAUUGUUAUCGAGAAAGUAUACAAUUAUUUGUGUUUCAAACCUACCAACUCAAAUAAUUGUGAGUGAAAGGUGAAAAACUUUUUUCACUAACUCUAAAAGUUACCCAUAAGUGAUUUUUACACCAUCUUUUUUGGAACUUUUUUUUGUUUGGUGGAACACUAUCUUUUAUAAUAUUGUGAGAUAGAAAGAAUCAAACAUAGACUGAUGAUACAUGAACUUAUUUCCCUAAGCAAAUUAUAUUAUUCAAUUUUUCUAAAGAAAAUUAAAGUAAACAAAUAUAAAUUGGUUAAAAUUAUAAAAUUUGAAUGAUAUUUCAAACAAAUAAUUGGUUCAACUUUCAAAAUUGGUAAGGGUAUGUUCAUCAAAUUUAAUUUGUAAAUUAUAACUUAUUGUACUAUAUAUAAAAAAAAGAAAUAAAAAGAGUAAAUAAUUGAGUGUGAAUAAUGGAAAGGCUGUGAGUGAAUUGACUUGAAGGACACAUAUAAUGUACUAUUUUUGAGUUGAAAAGAAAAUCCAUUUCAACAAGUAAAACAUUACCCACACUCAAUUAUUCACUCUUUCAACUUUUAUACCUUUCUUUAUCAAAAAAAAAAUUAUAUUAUCAUUAUUUCUUUUUAUUUUUAUGACCCAACUUAUACUCUUAUUAAUUAAAACUAAUGAACAAGUAGAUAAAAAAACUAUAUUGCACUCCCAAAAUAGUUAUAUUAACACUGGUGAGAUGGACUGUGAUUGGGUCAACAAUAUUCCAUUUUCUUCUUCUUUAGGGUUUUUCUUAGCUUCUCUUUUGAGUCAAAUGUAUUAGUUGAAGGCUCUUCUACCUAUUUCCUUUUCUCUAGUGUAUACAAUAAAUGCUAAUUAAUGUGUACACAUAUAAUAUAUGUUACAUACAAUUAGAACACAAUAACACUUUACCCUCAGCUUGUCCAUGAUUUGUCAAUAAGAUAUUUAGUUAGAACAACAUAAUUAUAUGUAUUUCAUGGCUUCAUAGUGUUGAAUCCUAACUCUCUUUAAUUCCAAAUGUUUUGUUUGUUAUUCAAAAACAAAAUCAACAUGUUAUAUAUUCUUUAAAUAUACUACACAUCUUAUGAAAAAAAAAUGUGGUUCUAUGAUGGUUUUUUGUUGAUAACCUAUAUAUAAAAAUAGUGAAAGGCAUUGAAGGAUGGAUGAUAAAUGAUAGUGUCUAAAAACAUCCUACAAUUUUGCAAAUAGCAUCACGAGGGGAUUGCAUCAAAAGGUCUGUAGGGACUGAAAUGCAAAAGGCAAAAGAAGAAGAAAUUACAAAAUUGCUUUAGGCCAAGUGCCCCACAUGCCAUGAACAACAUACACACAUCCUAUUCAUAUCCAUACCAUAUUCUUGUUCUACAGAAUUGUAAGCUUUCCAAUGGCAAACUGAUGAUAUCUUUUUUCUUUUGAAUUACACCAAUUGAGGCAACCAAGCAGAGAUUCCAUGCCAACAAGAAAAUGUAAAAUCACUCACAGUGAACAAAGAGGAGUCCAUUGAUAAUGUGUACCCACCCAAUUUUGGGAAUCUAAAUCUAAAUUUGAUACUUGAUGCCUCUGAAAUAUCUGUGCAUAUCUUAUGGAGCUUUUUUUAUGAAUGAAUCUUUUCACAGAGGCCUUUUGUGAUUAAUCACUCAACCUCAGAAAAUGUGUGAAAUAUAAUCUUCUAAUUACAUGUAAUGCAUUAGGGCUAUACAAAUUCUAAUUAAAGACUGUCUUUAUAAUGUAUCACAGUAGAUGACCAUUUGUGAUAAACAUACAAAUGUGCACUAACACAUAAUCAAAAGAUUAUAUUAUCUACAUUUGUCAAAGCACAUAUCAGUCCUACAAAAAACUCUAUUGGUUAAGUGAGGAACAAACUCGAAGGGCUUCAACAUUGUUUUGACAUUGACAACAUCAAAUUAAAAACAUUUUCCUCCAUUUAUGUGUAACUCAGAGUAAACAAAAUGAAUAAUAAUUUAUGGAAAAACUACAUUUCUAAUCCUCAAAAUUUGAAAAAUUUGUACCAUUUCAUUCACUAGUAUAUCUUUGUAGUUCUCAAAUUUAUAAAAACAAACUCAUUUGAUUUAUGAGUUUUAAAAAUUCAAUGUAUUUUCAAAAUUAAGUUUAAAAAUAUCCGUCAAAAUCACUUCUCACACUUAUAUGAUAUUUCAUCAGACACUUUUAUUUUAAAUACUUAUAUGACAUUUCAAUUUGGAUGAAUAAUUUCUAAAGUUCAUAUCCACCUUUUAAAAGUGUUUUUACUCUCAUUUUAAAUAUUAUAUAAUUUUUUUUAAAAAAAGAACCUUUUAAAUCUAUUUUAAAAACUAAAAGACUUUAAAAUACAUUUUGAAAAUUUGGGUAAAUGAAUUUAUUCUUAUAAAUCCACGUUAUUUUAAAAACUCACAAACCAAAUACACAUAUUUAUCAAAACUUCAAAACUAGAAAGAUAAUUUUUUCUAAUUUUAUUAAUUGAUAGUUUGAAAAUUAAAAUAUCAAAAUAGGUAGAAGUUUUAAGGAAAGCAAAUUUUAGUCCUCCAAUUUUAAAAUGAGAAACAAAUUACAUUAAUCUCGUUCAAUUUUAGUUAAAUUUGAAUUACAAGCUCCUAAAUUAAAUCAGUAAUAAAAUAAUAUUUAACUUGAUAUUAGACACAUUAAUAAUCUUCAAUUUAAUUUUAGUUACACAGAAAUUAAAUGUAUAUUUCAUUUUUUAACAUUACCAUAUUAUUAAUAGAAAAUCUAACCAAUGUAUUUCAAUUUAAAUUAGUCAUUCUUUUUUACAUAUUUAAGCCAGUUUCUUUAACAUAACAAACAUUAAAAACACACUUAAUAAGAAUUUUGUUGUAUUUGAAUAAUGGAAAGACAUUUUUAAGAAUGAAACUGCUAAAAACAUUUAUAAAUAUAUGAAAAAUAUCACAAUCAUAAGAAUAAGUAGCAUACUAUAUUGUGGUUAAUGGUAAAUAGAUUGUAAUAUUUUGUAAAUAUUAUAAUUCAUUUCGUUAGAUUCGAAAAUAACUCAAUAUUUUAGUUUUAAACUUAAUUAUAUUAAAAAUAAUCAAAAUGGAUGAAAAAUAUAAACUAAAUCUAAAACCUAAACCGUGAUCAAGACUUCUAAAUCUACCCUGUGAAUAAAAGGUCAAAAUAAACAAUGCCAAUAUUACUUUGUAAUACCAAAUUUGGAAGCCAUAAGAGUUAUUCUUGAGGAGGUAGUUUCUGGUGCAGCAAGGAAAGGCCUUCACACUUCUUCCUAAGCCGAUACAUUCGUUUUCGAUGUGUUCGACCUUGAUUGUGUUGUUCCCAUUCAUGUGCUCCUCUUAAUACUUUAUUUCCACAAGCCUGUACAAAUCAAAUACUUUCAGGAAUAUGUUUCACGCAUUGGUGUUCAUUUUUCCUUUGUAUGGGUGCAUGUGCAUGCUGGAAAAGUAUUUGUAAUGUAAUGCUUUCCAUGUAGUUUCAAUAGUAUUUAUGUACGAAAGAAGAUAAAUGAUAAUGUCUUCAAUUAUCCCAUUCAAUGGUUUUCUUUCUAAUCAUUCAGUAUGCAGAGAAUUCUUGAAGCAAUGGUAAUUAGUGUUCAUGGCUUAUUACUAUUAUUAUUCUUAUUUUGAUAUUUUCCAUUUAUAUAUUUUCAAUGGGCUCUAUUUAUUCCCCCAUGUAAAAGGUCAUAUGUAAUCUAAUUUAUUCACAAGAAUAUUGUUCCUUCGCCUAGCUUUUUGCCAUUUAUUCUAGUUAAACAGGACUGACCCAAAAAUUUUGACUAAUGGGUGAACGUAAAUUUAUUACUAUACCAACAUUCUCCCUUAUUUGUGAGAAUUUAAAAAUAUGUUGAAGACCCAAAAAUGAAAAUCAAAACUAAUUGAUAAAGAAAUAACAUUACGAAGAUUUGAACACAUGAACACAUGACUUUAAGUCACGUAUUUUGAUACUAUGUUAAAUUUACCAUUAAUCCAAAAGCUUAAGCUAAGCUAUGAAUGUAAAUUUAACGUAGUAAGAACUAUUUUGACGCUGAAACCUCAACUGUUUUCAAGUGCAAAACAAAAAUAGUUAGAAACACGACCUAAUGGAAAUUACCUGGCAUAUAUACUGUGUCCACAAGUCCUUCUUGAUUAGCUCUGAACUGUGUGGUUUCAUUGUCUCGGUCGCCGAACCAUCUGUAAGAAAAGAUCUAAUUAUCUGGACUGCUGGUUCAACGACGUGUGCAGUCCAUGAAUCCUCCACCUUGCCUAAUGUUUGAAAUAGCAGGCGUUCAAGAUAAUGGGUCAGGCAAGAGGAAGCUUAUUAAUUAAAUAAUGAGCUCAAGAUUAUCACAGAAAUUAUACAUGUUAUAUAUUCCGUGGAAUCAACAUAGUGGAUCUUCCAUCCAAACAAAGUUUCCAGUCUCUUUAGCUGCCUCCUCUGAAAACAAUAAAUACACUUUAUAACAGAAAGUAUAGAAUAGAAACAUACCUAUAUUACUUUAAAUGUACUUCCACAGUAAAAAAUUUACGCAUAUAUAACUUAGUCUCUAAGCUUUUUUUUUAAGAGACCAAGGUCAUUGAUUAGUUGAGGAAUGAAAUGUAACAGGAAGAUAAAAAUAAUUCUAGCAACUAUUGUGUAAGACCCCUGGCUCAGGGUUGGGAGGAUUAUUAGUAAAUAUUACUACAGUUAUUUUUUAUUAGAAGGGGCAUAUUAGUAAUUAGCUAGUAAGUUGGUUAAAGCUUUUAGUUAUAUAUAGUGAGAGUGGAUUGAAACGCUAUGUUAUAUCGUAGUUUCUUCAUUCAUAUUGCAAUAGAUGUUUAUCUGUAGUGUUCUUUGUUUGUUCUGUGUUCUUGAGCACCUCUCAUGGGUGGUAUCCUAACAUAUUGUUCAUGGAAUAUAAAAUAGAACUUCAACUAGAGACUAAAGUAGAAAGACUAACAUUAUAACUAUACGAUGUCGGUUGUCAACCAACAUCUAUGAACAUGUUAUUAAAGUCAGUUAUAAACUGACAUUAAAGAUGACAACAAUGUAUUGGAAUUUGUCCUCGAACUUAUAGUUUGUCGUUUAAAAUUAUAUUUUAUUCAAUAAAGUGGUUAUUAAGGACUUCUUAGUGAAAAUAGAAUAUUAUAAUCUUGAAUCCAAUAAACUAAGGUCCCGAGGCUAUCUAGUGUAAACUUGAACUUUAUGUAAAGACAUAAACGUGGAUCAAGUUCAAGUAUAUAGCCCAAACGGUCUAUAGUGUAUGAAUAAGGUUGGACGCCUUAUUCUGGGGAUACUAUGGAUGCGGCAUGCUUUAUAGUUAGUAAAAACGAUGUGAUCUUGAAUCGUUCAUGUAGAGACAUGAAAGUGAGGACAUCCUAUGUAAAGAGUUUACAUAAGACUAAAACCAUAAAAUAGUCACUUUUAAGUUAUUACACUGUUGACUAUAUAAAACUGACUUAGAUAACUUAAUCUUAAUCCUGAGCUAAUUAUGAACUUUUGUUCAAACGGAAUUAUCCUUAAAUUUGCAUACGUGAGAGCACCUUAACAGUGUCGACACAAUAAGCCUCUCAUUUUUGGGGUAAGACUGGUCAGAUGGCUAAGGACAUAGGGUGCAAGACAGAAUUCACUCCAGAUAGAUUGUCUCUUAAAGACUGAAUCCAAGUCUUGAACAAAGGGUUUCACCCUUUCAUUACAAGGGAUUCGGUUUAUAAAUUGGACCUUAAACCAAUUAUUAACAGUGGAUCAGUAGAACUUAAGGAGCAAAAUAUAAUCUUGAAGGUAUAAUGGUAUUUUGACUCAUUCGAGAUUACGAAAAACUUGUGAAUAAUCAACUUACUUAUCAUGGUUAUACUAGAUGAACACAGAUAUAUCUAUAGUGAGGGGAGUGCAACUACGAGACUUUAGUGGAAUCGUCACAUUAUUUAAUACACGAUAAUGCACACAAAACCUCCAAUUACCAUCCUUUUUCUUCACCAGAAGCAUAGGGCUAGAAUAUGGGCUUGUGUUUGGUCUUAUGACUCCCGAGGCUAACAUUUCAUUUACCAAUUUCUCCAUCUCCUCUUUCUGUUGGUAGGAAUAUCUAUACGUUCAAACAUUGGUCCCCUUCUUCAAAUGAAUGUGUUGAUCUAUGUUUCUCUAAUACCAAUAUGAUAGAACACUAACUUACAUUGUGUAUUAUUCAAAAGAUCAACAGAAACAAGUACGAGAAAUUGACAAAGUAUCAAUUCCUGAAUCAAAGCAAGUAAGAAGGGUAAAGAAGAAUAAGAAGAACACUACCCACCCCUCUGCCCUUCCUAUCUUUCAAGGAAUUGACAAAUGAUUCACACAAUUCUCAUACCUCACUCACAGACCCCGCUUUGCUAUUUAUACCUCCUCUCGCUCCUAACUAACUGUGGGUCUCAGUCUUGGCAGGCUGGCAGCAAUACGGCAUUACAUGUGCACUCCCCUUAUUCCCCCUCCUACUGUACUGCCACAUGAUAGGUGCUCUACCAGAAAACUCUCCAUCUUUGCCACAAGGACCUCCGCUAAAAAUUUUAUGAAGACACACCUAAACUACUGGUUGAAGCACUGAAUUUUUUUUAAAUCUACUUUAAAAGAUAGAAAUAGAAGAGCAAAAAAUAAGAAACAAACUGGUUAUCCAUUCCUUCUUGAUCCAUAUUGAUAUUCGCAUUUGGACAACAUGUUCAUUUCUACAACAAAAUCACAUCAGAUAAAAGGAAGUUAAUUGAUACAUACCUGACGACGAACCAGUCUUCUAGUAUUCAACUUUACAUUAUCUACGGCUUCUUUUAGUAGCAAACUGGGUUGGCCAUCACAAGGUGAAGUUAGGAUUGACCUCAUAUUCUCUUUCAAAAUCUCAUUGCACUCCAUUAAAUUUUUUGGACUAAGCCCAGCACUUUCUUUUUUGCAUCCACCUUCAGGUAUAUAACAUCUAAAAAAUUCUUCAAACUCCCGAACACCAAUAGCUUGACACAAUCCUCUAGUAUAGUUUGCAUUUGGAUUGUAAAUGUCAUACACCUCAUCAAGCAAUCCAGCAGCCAUCAUGAUGUCAACUCUAGAAUCAACAUGUUCGUCAAGUUGUGGAACAGAAGCAUCAACACAUAUCAAGCAGCAAUCAUAUUUGAAACUAUCGGCUUGACCCCAAUUCUGCCCUGCCACAUGCAAUGUUACACUAUGUAUUUGAUAUGAGAGUGGUAACAUUCAAGGAAUUAAGCAGCCAAGGUCAAAUGAAGAAUGAAUAAUCUGAAGAAAAUAAACUCAUUUUAGAAGUCCAAGCAUCAAGGAAGAACUAAAACGAGGGCUCACACGCAUUACCAUAGUCAGAUAGCUCAAUGGAAAGAAGAUUCAUACCUCAGCAGCCUUUCCUUGAAAAAGUGUGCUGGGAAGAACACCAGUGCGGUAAUACAAACUUAGGUAUUGAUUUAUCUGUAACAUAGUAUCAAUUGAAAAAAAAUCAAAAGUUGGGUAGGAUAUUUAGUUCAUUUAUGCAAGAUUAAGUAGUGGACCAUAUGACAAUCCUGUUAGGGGUUUUUGUGUCAUUUGUAUGGAAGGGAGAAGGAAUCAUAGUUGCGUUUCAAUGGCAGAAGUAUGAGCAAGAAGUUGAAUGAUAUUCGGCACUGAACCUUUGACAGGGAAAGGAACUGCUAACUCCCCAUUUUAUAUAUUAGUUUUAAACUUAAUUGGGUAGGGCCUAUCCCUCAAUGCUGCCAAAAUUUUUCUUCUUGGGAUUAAUCUUUGUGAUGAGGAGUUCGUUUCUAAAGCUAGUGAGUUGGGCUUCAAGGUUGAUAAAUUACCUUUUGUCUAAUUGGGUUUUCCACUUGCUGGGAAGGUCGCGGCUAAGGACGCCUAGGUUGCUCUUGAGGAGAAAUUUUAAAAAAAAAUUGAUUAAUGGUGUGGAUUGGUUAUUUCCAAAGGUGGUAGACUUACUCUUAAGUUUACCUUGUUACUUUUUCUCCUUAUUGAAGUCUUUGAAGGGUUCUAUUUCUCGUGUGGAAAAAGCUAAUUCAUGACUUUGUUUGGGGUGGUGGACUUGGUAAGCCAACCUCUCAUCUUGUCAACUGGAAGUCAACCUCUCUCUAUGAGAUUUAAAGGCAGUUGAAAAUCAGCUCUCUUAAUCGGGAGAAAUAUGCUCUCUUGAUGAAAUGGCUUUGGAGGUUUUGUCAUGAAGAAAACGCCUUCUGGAAGGAAUGUGAUUAGAGCUAUCUACGGUGUGGAGGAUCAUGGGUGGAGUUCUAUAAAGCCAAAAGACAAAAGCAGCUUCAGAUUACGAAAAUAGCAUUUUAAAACAAAAGGAACAAUUUGUUACCUUUGAUGAUUUUGUGGUGGCUGAUGGGAGACGCAUAAAGAUUUGGGAGGAUAGAUAGUGUGCUGCCCAACCUCCUGCUUCCUUGUACCAUGACAUCUACCUCAUUUCCUCAAAAAGAAUGAUGUGGUGACAGAUUGGGUUGAGAAGGAGAUUGUUUGAUAGAGAAAUUGGUAAUUAUAAUGCUCUUGGUCAACUGCUAACUGAUUGGGUGGUGAAUAGAGGAAAGGACAGCUUAUAGUGGAGGUUGGAAGCUUCGAGCUAGUUUUCUACCAAGUCUACUUUCCUCAAGUUAACCAAGGGGGCUACUAAAGUUAAACUACCUUCGGUCAAUCUGUUAGACCUCCUAUCAUACACCUACAAACGCAAGGGUAAAAAGGUGAUGGUUCAAGAAGGCAGCUCAGCCAAUUGAAUUAAAUGAAAAGAAUAUUUGGGUGUGGGGCCCACCUGGGGAGAGAGGUAUUUAAGGAAUGUUUUUAGGGAUUGGUGAGGUAGGUUUUAUUUUUGUAAAAAGCUGCGGUGAGAGCUUUUAGGGAGAAAACCAGCUUCUCGAAUUGCUGGGGUGUUGUUCUACUGUUUUCUUACUGUUGCCUUACUAUAUUUACCUUCUCUGUUUGAACUAUCGUUGUGAACGGUUCUUGUUGGUUUAUAUCUAUAUACAAAGAACUAAAGAAUAUCAUUUUUGUAUCUGUAUUGCGUUGAGUUUUUCUGAGUGCAGGGAAGUGUCUUAACAAAGUGGUAUCAGAGUCGCAAACAUCCUGGGAAGGACACGAGCAAUGACACAAAAACAGUGGGAGGAGAGAUUGGAAAUGAGUGAAGGAAAGCAGUCGAUCCAAACAUAGAGAAGAAUCGUGUGCCUCGAAGGGUUCUGGGCUUAAAAAGAAAGGAAAGGAGGGAGAGACGGACAUGAACUCAGUUUUCACUGGAGGAUCAUCGGAUUGAAGUAAAUACAAGAAGUUAGAGAUGCCUAUCUUCACAGGUGAUAAUCCGGAAUCAUGGGUCCAUAGGGCAGAGCAUUAUUUUGAUAUCAAUGAGUUGGCUAACGAGGAGAAAGUGAAAGUAGCCGUGAUCAGCUUUGGUCAAGACGAAGUAAACUGGUUCCGCUGGAGUAAUAACCGGAAGACAGUUACGUCUUGGGAGGAUCUCAAGAGAAGGAUGUUCGAACACUUCAAGACUCUCGGUGGAGGAAGUUUGGGGGCUCGUCUCAUUCGGAUUAAACAAGAUGGAUCUUACCCCAAUUAUUUAAAGAAAUUCUUGAACUAUUCGGCGCCGUUACCAGAGAUGGCGGAGAGCGUCCUCAUCGAUGCAUUUGUCACAGGUUUGGAGACGAAUCUACAAGCCGAAGUAUUAAGUCGUCAUCCAGUUACUUUGGAGGACUGUAUGCGUGAAGCCCAAAUGGUGAGUGAUUGUGACUUGGCAAUUAAGUUAGCCCUAAAUGAAUGUGGGAGUUAUGGGCCAAGGCCAUCUGAAGCCCAAACCCAGAUGGAAAAGAAAAAAAUGACGAUAAAUGCUGAAAAAAAAGAAGGAAAAAGCAGCGAAUACGUAAUGAAGCAAGUAUCGAUUCCGAUUAAGGGAAAUUAUUCGAGAGGAGAACCGUCGGUGAAACGCCUAUCGGAUAGCAAAUUCCGAGCAAGGCUUUGUUUUCGAUGUAACGAAAAAUAUUCACCAGGACACCGGUGCCAGGGCAAAACGAAUCGCGAGCUGAUGUUUUUUAUUGCGAAUGAAGAAGAAGAAUUGGAAGAUGUCAACAGGAAGGAGGAAGCCGAACUGGAAAUUGUUGAACUCGAAACCCUAGAAAUCAAGGGGGGAACAGAAAUAGCGCUUCGCACCAUCUUGGGGUUUACAUCAAAAGGUACAAUGAAACUACGAGGGACGAUGAAGGGAAGAGAAGUAAUUGUCCUCAUUGAUAGUGGCGCAACACACAAUUUCAUCCGUGAAGGAGUGGUUAAUGAGCUAAACUUACCAGUGGAGGAAAAAACAAAAUUCGGAGUGACUAUUGGCGACGGAACUGCACUGGAGGGAAAAGGGGUUUGCAAGAGAGUUGAGGUUAAGUUGCCGGAGUUAACAAUUGUGGCAGAUUUCUUAGCAAUCAAAUUGGGUACAAUUGAUGUGGUUUUGGGAAUGCAGUGGCUCAGCACGACCGGAUUCAUGGGGGUUCAUUGGCCGACGAUGACAAUGACGUUCAUGGCAGGAACCACGCAGGUGAUUUUAAAAGGGGAUCCGUCCCUUACAAAAACUGAAUGUUCCUUAAAGACGAUCUCUAAGACGUGGGAAAUGGAGGACCAGGGAUUUUUGUUGGAAUUCCAGAAAAUUGAAAUUGAAGAAAAUAAUGAGGACAGUGAAAGGGAGGAAGAGGGGGAUGAAGCAAAUUUACCUAUGAUUCGCAAGUUGUUGCAUAGGUUAAGGGGCUGUUCGAGAUGCCGAAAGAAUUACCUCCAAAAAGGGCAGUAGAUCAUCGAAUUCUGACUAUCGACGGACAAAAACCCAUCAAUGUGCGCCCUUACAAGUAUGGGUACAUACAGAAAGAAGAGAUAGAGAAACUGGUGACGGAAAUGCUUCAAGCAGGAAUUAUCCGGCCAAGUCGAAGCCCAUAUUCCAGUCCGGUAUUGCUAGUAAGGAAACGCGACGGUGGGUGGAGAUUUUGCGUAGACUACCGUAAAUUGAAUCAGGUGACUGUCUUCGAUAAAUUCCCCAUUCCCGUAAUCGAAGAACUGCUAGAUGAGUUACAUGGUGCUGAAGUUUUUUCCAAGCUGGAUUUGCGUUCGGGGUAUCACCAAAUUCGGAUGAAGGAGGAGGAUGUUGAAAAAACCGCGUUUCGCACUCACGAAGGGCAUUAUGAAUUUCUAGUUAUGCCUUUCGGGUUAACCAAUGCGCUGGCCACUUUUCAGUCCCUAAUGAACCAAAUUUUCAGGCCCUUCCUAAGACGGUUUGUGUUGGUCUUCUUCGACGAUAUCCUAAUCUAUAGUACUGAUAUUACCGAACACGAGAAGCACUUGGGAAUGGUGUUCAACGUAAUGAAAGACAACCAGUUAUUUGCCAAUGAAAAGAAAUGCGUAAUAGGGCACUCACGAGUUAAUUAUUUGGGACACUGGAUCUCUAAAAAAGGUGUAGAAGCGGACGGGGAAAAGGUGCAAGCAAUGGUAAACUGGCCCCAACCCAAAGAUGUUUCUGAAUUAAGGGGAUUCCUCGACCUCACGGGAUAUUAUCGAAGAUUUGUCAAAGGAUAUGGGAACAUUGCUGCUCCCCUGACCAAAUUGUUGCAAAAAAAUGGGUUCAAUUGGAACGAAGAUGCCACAUAAGCUUUCGAGUCCCUGAAACAAGCAAUGAUCUCGGUACCAGUCUUAGCACUCCCCGAUUUUUCCUUACCAUUUAACAUUGAAACGGACGCCUCAGGCGUAGGACUGGGAGCAGUUUCAUCACAGAAUGGCCGACCAAUAGCGUAUUUCAGGCAGAAAUUAUCUCCGAGAGCACAAGCAAAAUCUAUUUACGAAAGGGAACUGAUGGCAGUGGUAAUGGCAAUGCAAAAAUGGCGUCAUUAUUUGUUAGGGAGGAAAUUUACCGUACUGUCAGACCAGAAGGCACUAAAAAUUUUUAUUGAACAGAGGGAGGUCCAGCCCCAAUUUCAGAGAUGGUUGACUAAAUUACUGGGUUAUGAUUUUGAAAUUUUGUACCAACCCGGGCUGUUGAAAAAAGCAGCAGACGCACUAUCCCGCAUGAACCCUACUGUGGAAUUAAAUACUUUAAUCUCUCUGGGGCUGCUAGAUGUUGAGACGAUGAUGGAAGAAGUUAAAAGUGAUGAGGAAUUACAAGGAAUAAUUGAAGUCCUGAAGGAAAAUCCAGAAGGGAAAGCAAACUAUCAGUGGGUAUCAGACAAAUUGCUCUACAAGGGAAGGUUAGUCUUGUCGAAAACCUCUUCUCUUAUUCCAGCCUUACUCCAUACUUUCCACGAUUCAGUGUUAGGGGGCCAUUCGGGGUUUCUCAGAACAUACAAGCGUAUGAAUGGAGAGAUACAUUGGGUGGGCAUGAAAAAUGACGUAAAGAAAUAUGUCGAACAGUGUGAAACAUGCCAAAGAAAUAAAACAGAAGCACUCUCCCCAGCUGGAUUAUUACAGCCCCUACCUUUACCCAACUUAAUCCUCGAAGACUGGACGAUGGACUUCAUAGAAGGGUUGCCUAAGGCGGGAGGUUUCGAUAGUAUCAUGGUGGUGGUUGACCGACUAAGUAAAAUGGCUCACUUCAUUACCUUGAAGCACCCAUUUACGGCAAAGCAAGUUGCUGAAAAAUUUAUUGAAGAAAUUAUUAGCAAACAUGGGAUUCCAAACUCAAUAGUAACAAACCGGGACAAAGUCUUCUUAAGCCACUUUUGGAAAGAAUUAUUUACAGCCAUGGGAGCUUCACUGAAAAGAAGUACUGCAUUUCACCCUCAAACGGAAUCUUCUUAAGCCACUUUUGGAAAGAAUUAUUAGCAAACAUGGGAUGCCUCGAAACGUAUCUACGCUGUUUCUGUAACGAACAGCCUAUGAAGUGGCAUAAAUGCAUUCCUUAGGCUGAAUUGUGGUAUAACACCACCUUUCACUCGUCGGCAAAAACAACCCCGUUUCAAAUUGUGUAUGGGCGCCCCCCACCUCCGCUGAUUCUGUAUGGGGAUCGAAAGACCAAUAAUAACAGUGAAGAACAAUUAUUAAAAGAAAGGGAUCUGGUUAUUAGUGCAUUAAAGGAGAAUUUGUUGACAGCCCAGAAUAGAAUGAAGAAACAAGCAGAUCUAAGGCGUCGGGAACUGAAAUUCAAAGUGGGAGAUGAGGUUUAUUUGAAAUUACGACCUUACAGACAGCGAUCCUUAGCUAAAAAACGCUGCGAGAAGUUAGCUCCCAAGCUUUAUGGGCCCUAUCGUAUAAUGGAGGAAAUUGGGGAAGUAGCGUAUCGUUUGGACCUCCCACCUGACGCAAUGAUCCAUAACGUGUUCCAUAUUUCACAGCUGAAACUUAAGUUGGGUAAAAUACAACACAUACAACACCUACCACCUGCAUUGACUGAAGAUUUUGAGCUGCAAGUGGAACCGGAAGCAGUGCUGGGAGUUCGCUGGAACAGCGAGAUGGGAGCUAAUGAUUGGUUGGUGAAAUGGAAGGGGUUACAUGACAGUGAAGCGACUUGGGAAUCUGUUUAUGCGAUGAACUAACAGUAUCCUUCGUUUCACCUUGAGGACAAGGUGAGUUUUGAGCCCGACGGUAUUGUUAGACCUCCUAUCAUACACACCUACAAACGCAAGGGUAAAAAGGUGAUGGUUCAAGAAGGCAGCUCAGCCAAUUGAAUUAAAUGAAAAGAAUAUUUGGGUGUAGGGCCCGCCUGGGGAGAGAGGUAUUUAAGGAAUGUUUUUAGGGAUUGGUGAGGUAGGUUUUAUUUUUGUAAAAAGCUGCGGUGAGAGCUUUUAGGGAGAAAACCAGCUUCUCGAAUUGCUGGGGGUGUUGUUCUACUGUUUUCUUACUGUUGCCUUACUAUAUUUACCUUCUCUGUUUGAACUAUCGUAGUGAACGAUUCUUGUUGGUUUAUAUCUAUAUACAAAGAACUACAGAAUAUCAUUUCUGUAUCUGUAUUGCGUUGAGUUUUUCUGAGUGCAGGGAAGUGUCUUAACACAAUCCUAUUUGGAAACCGAAAGUUCCUUCGGUCCCUCGCCUAUAGAAGUCUCAACACCCAGGAAAAGCUCCAAAGAAAGUUUCCUGAUCGGAAUCUCUCCCCUUCCAGAUGUCCGCUUUGCCAGAAGGAGGCUGAGACUUUAGAUCACCUUUUUUUACACUGCAAGUUCACAUCCAAAGGGUGGAAUAGGAUUUUUGAGACUUUUGGGUUGGAUGGGAUCUCCGAUUGCAGGUUAAUGGCUGGAUGAUGGUGGGUUUGUAUGGGGGCAACUUUAGUGGAGAAGGAAAAUUUUUAUGGUGUUGUGCGACCCACACUCUCUUGUGCAUCUUUGGAAUGAAAGAAAUAGUAGGGUGUCUGACGAUAAGUUUAGCUCUUUUGAUUCUUUUUAGGGUUUUGUGCAGCAUACAGCUUCUUGGUGGUGUACAAACUACACUAAGUUAUUUUGUCAUUACAGCCUUCUCAUGAUUAUUAACCGAAAGGCGCUUAUUAAUUAGGAUUGUGUGUGUGUGUGUGUGUGUGUGUGUGUGUGGGGGGGGGGGGGGGGGGGGGGGGGGGGGGGCGUCCUCAACCCCUCGCCUUUAAGUUGUUCUCUUCUUGUUGAUAUAUAUAUAUAUAUAUAUCUUUCUCUGUUUCUUAUCAAAAAAAAAAAGAUUACACAUAAAAUAAACUGGCAGCCUUACUUUUCUGUGGUUAUUAGGGUGGAUUCUGUUAGCCGAAACUGGAUCAAUCUCUUUAAGAUGGUUAUGGUCAUACUUCAAACCAUCUCUGCACUCAUCCAAAUCAACACCCAGCCCUUCAUCUCCUGGAAAAACAUGAAUAAAAAAAUUAUUUUAAACACCAGAUCCAUACAAAUACUACUAAUAAACAUAAACCUGUAGAAUUAGAAAUUACCAGGAUAAAUGGAACAACCUCCACCAACAUUUUCUGCAGAAUCAUCCAGAAGAAACGGACUAACAAGAGCCUGCAUGAGAAAUAGAACAUGGUAACUUGAUGUACUAAAAUAAUAUAUAAAUAUAAGGAAAAUCCACAGAAAAGAAUGAUUAGAAGUUAAGCAUGAAGUCUCAAAUCUCCCAAACGAAGAUAAACAGCUUCUAAGAGCAGUCAUAACAUGAUUUGUAUCAUAUGAUCCAAAUCGAAACAAAGGGCAAACAAGUUAAAUCGCAUGUAUCAGAUGAUUCAAGAUAUUGAAUCAUGUGACUCGUUCUUGAAUCGGUAAAAGAUAAAAUAUCAUUCUCAAGUUGCUGGGACAAGAGAAGAAAACCCUGGGGAGUGGUUAGCAUCAAAAUAGUGUGGGUAAAAAAUCACGAAACAAGUGUGAUGGAAGUCGAAUGUAGUAAGUAAUUUCUAUUAUUAUUGAUGAUACUAUAGGAAUGAAUUCCUUGUUACAAUAUCAAAUAAUCCUCUCCUGCUAUCCUCUCUUUCAAGGAAGAACAGAAAGAUCUCUCCAAACUCAAAACAUAACUAACUUUCCCGCCCUCUUACUAAUUUUUAUUUAUACUAACUACUAACCCUUCCCCUUGCCAAUUCUCACGUGUCAUUCACAUGCACGUGUUACUUCUUUUUCUCUCUCCUGCUACCCAUUCUGUUCUUGUCAGCAAUAGAAGAAAAUAAAAUAUGAAGGUUUAAGGAUAACUGAUGAAGAGUGUGGAAGAAGAAAGAAGAGGGAGGGUUGCAAUAAUAUUUUUUUAAAAGGAAACAAAAUUUACUGAUAAAAUUUGCGGCAUGAGCUCAGAUGGUAGAUACAGAGAGACUCAAUAGAUACAAUCAAAAAAUAGACAAUACACCUGGAGAUUCAGUGAAUACCGAAAAGAGGCCAACCAACAUGAUAUCAAAACAUAAAUUACUAGAAAAUAGUGGUAUUGGUUAGAGGUUAUAAACACAUUCCAAUUGAGGCAAAUGUCUUGGAUCAAGAAGUCUCCAAAUAAUUUAGAUAAGGAGCACCAUGAGAAGCAAGUAGGCGAGGCUGAGGCAAAAUGAUUUGACUGUUCAUAAAAUUUAUGAUGAAAAAACUCUUUGUUUUCGUUUGAACCAGAAUUCUGAGAGAAAGGCUUUAACCGCAUUAGACCAUAGCGUUUGUGCUUUAGGAGGUAAGUGUGGACCGGUGAGUACUUGAAGCACAAGGAAGGGUUGCAACAGUGUUUCCCAAUUUCCAUUGAAGAAGAAAGAGAGUCACAGGGAAAAUGAAAAGACUAUUGAUUUGAGACACAAUUUGAAUCAAAGGGCAAACAGUUUCUUCCAGAAAUCAAUACAUCUCAAAUCAAAUUAAUCAAUAGUCUUUUUAUUUCCCUUGUAACUCUCUUUCCCCCUCGAUAGAAAUUCAGAAACAGGACAGCAGCCAUUCCUCUUAUUUCUUCUUCCACACUCCUCAUCAGUUCAUCUCUGAAGCUUCAUUUUCAAUUUUCUUCUAGGUUCUAAUAGACGACAAGGACAGUUUUUCCAUGAUUUUUUUAUCCAAACUACGUUGACAACAACCACUACCAGUCCACAAGGUUUUCUUCAACAGCAUCAUAGCAACUAAAAAAUGUUUUGAUUCAAGAAUAAGUGGCACGAUUUAGUAUCUCAAAUCACGAUACACAUAACUUCUGAUUCAAGACCACAAUUUAAAUGGUUUGCCCUUUGAUUCAAAUUGUAUAAUACAUAUCAUGUAUCAUAUGUUUUUAACAACAUUGAUUACACCUUGCAUUUUUACUUCUCCGGUCAAAUGAUCAAAUUUCAAGUACAAUGCCAAAAACUAGGUCAAAAGAAGAUCCCCAAAGACAUGUUCUAAAAUUUCAAAAAUCGGCUUUAUGAUGUCCAAAAAUUUCCUUCAACUACAUGACAACAGUCUUGAACGUGAACAAUUACAAGAUUUUGAACAAUAAAAUCCUUGCAGCUUUAAGCACUCAAACUAUCGCAUUCAUCAUUAGAUGACUGACAUUUUCUUACCUGUAUAUAAUAAUUUGUUCCACCCACUAUCAUUGGCAAGCAUCCACGAGAAAUUAUGCCAUCAAUAACCUGCAAAAUUAAAAUGCAGAAUCAAGACAAAACUACAUAAAUAACAUUAAUCAGAAGGGAAAAAAUCAGCCCACACUUCAUAUAAACGAUAAGAUUAAUAUGCUACAAACAGCACAGGACUGUUGAGUUACUAACCAAAAAGGUAGUCUAUCCAUUGGUCCUCUUCAAGUAUUUUAUAACACUCUAAUGUUAGCUAUUAAAUUCUGAGUAGACAAUUAUUAAGUUACUAACCACCUUCUCUUCCUACAACUCGAGUAAGAAACCAACAUUCCCAAAUGAAUCUAACUAUUAAAUUGCCCUGGUUCUUCUCCUUUCCCUGUAUUCCACAAGUAUUGUGUAGGACCAAGGAGAACCCUAGCCUCCUAUACGUUUGAAUGAGACCAGCAACUUCAGUAUGAUAACAGGAUUACUUGAGAAAUUUAACUUCUUGAUCUUAAUUGAGGAAACUAUUGACCAUGUUCAGAACUAGAAGAAGAAACUGAAGCUUUGUAAAAGCUCAUCGACUCAUAUCAUUGAAGAAUAGCAAUAGAAAACUACAAUAGAAUAGGACAAGUACAUUUUCCGACCACGCUAGUUUCCAUUUGCAACGAAAUAAAAAUUGCCACACAUCAAUUUUCAACUCUUUCAACUUAAAUCUCAGAGAAUACGCAAUGAGCCCUAGAAGCAAAAACCCUUUGGCGCGAUACAAUGUUAUAGCUAACUUACAUGAACAGCAGAAUUUCGGAAGUCUUUAGCCGUGAAUUCAACGUCUGGACUCACCGUACCUAAAAGAUGAUGCGGUACUCCUAGAAAACGAAACCCAUUAAGAAACUCAAAUCAGAAAUCAAGAGCAACCAAGGGAAGCACGGGUUCACCAAUAAUUGGAGAGAAUAGCAUACAAAUGGAAGUAACUAACUGACCAUUUUGAUCUUCGGGGGGAACUUUGUUUGUGAGAACGUCUAAACCUCGAUAAACCUGCAUAGAGUCGGCGUUGAUGAUCUCGACGGGGAAGUAAGAAGCCAAAUCAAUAGCGAGACGUGACUUCCCAGAACCAGUCGGCCCCAUAAUCACGACCACCUUCGGUUUUUCUCCUCCCAUAUUCAAAUUUGCAGACACCGUUCGAGUGCCUCCGUUUACGAUGGCCAUCUCUUCACCGGUGAGUCAAUUUUAGACCAUUUGUACCAUUCAAGGGAUCUCUUUGAGAAAUUUGGACGGAUGCCCUCCCACUUUCAAAUUCAAAUGACUAAUAGUCUUAUGUUAUGUGAUCUUAUGCUAUGUCAGCCACUGAGAAUUUACCAAAUUGACUUCAUCCACAAGCGAGGUCAAUUCGCUAACAAUUUCUUUUCGGUUCUUUCUCUCGUGUAUGUAUAAAGAUUUAGACAAAAUUAUCUUCAGCUUCAAGAUCCUAAGUUUUUCAAAGAACUCACGUAGAGUUCUUCGGAAUUCUCUCAAUUUUCUGCUAAAAAAUCUUUGUCCAACUCGCCGAAGAAGCGCGGGUUUGUUCCCGUCGGUCUGAUAUUUGAAUAUGGACUUCUCUCCUAAUCUUCAUCAAGAAAUGAUGAGGAUUUUUUUUCUUUUUUUUUCUUUGUGAGGUUUUUUGAAAACCUUAUUUGGUGGGUUUUGAGUUUUGUGAGGGAAAAUAGUCGGAGACUAGUAGAAGAAAUGGGAGACUAGUAGAAGAAAUGCAUUAAUAUUAUGAACAUAAUCUUAGGCCUCUUGGCCACAUAGUACAUUUUACAACUUAAUACAUGAAAAUUAUAAAAUGGUAUACAAAGAAAUUAGUCAAGCUUCAGAGUAUGAUUUCUCACUCUUCGGAUCUAAUUUUUGUUUGUUUUAUGAGAGGGAAAUAGUGGGGGAAGAACUCUCUUAUUCUUUUGUUCUAAGCUAUCACUUAUAACUUAAAACAGAAAGAAUGGAAGAUAGAGUGAGCUUGCUCUCUCCAAUUUUGCACACCUUGCUCUGAAGUAAAUGCCUUUAUUUAUAGGUGGGGAGUAAUGUUGACAGAACAUUCCACACUUUAUUAAUGCUUCUGACAAAGCUACAUCAACGUCGCACAAACGUCUUUUUGUCCUUUUCUGACAUUUGCAACAACCAAAUUUGUCUACUAGUACUUUAGAUCACCUAGCUCAUUGCGAUCGUCUCCUAGUUGGUUGUGUGUCUCAUUCUCUAAUGUUUGGUUGUCAUGCAUUAUAUGAGACUCAUUUCUAAUUUGAGUAAAAUCUGGAUAAGUGUUUUAACAUUUGCGUUUUGGUUAAGAAGUUGGAGUUUGAACCAAUUCACGAAAAGGAUUAAGUGAUAAAAUUUUAUAUGGUUAAGUAGAAGUUUUUGUGAUUUAAAACUUAGUUCAUGAGGAAGUUUUGAGAAAAGAAGGACUUGUAGUAGGAUCUAUAUGUCUAAACGCUCACAAGAGAAAGAGUCUUCACGAGAAAGUUAGGUAGUCUGCGAGAAGAGUUAUGCGUUAAAACUUUCGAAAGUUAUGUUAAGCGGUUAAAACUAUUCGCAUCAUGGAGUUAGGCGAGAAGAUGUAAAUUAUGAUUUAACAGGGAUAACAUGUAAGAUUAUGAAUUCAAGCAUGACUAAGAUAAAUAUUAAUUUUAGAAGUGUAAAAUUUUAAGUAGGAGCUAGCAAUUGGACAAUGAUUUAAGGAUGACUAAUUCAACUUAAAGAAUAGUAUAAAUAAAGGAUUUAGGUCACUAAGUAAGGAAGAUUUUUCUGAAAAUUUUGAAGUGUUGAAGUGUUGCCAUUUUGUUUCUGCGAGAAGGCUACGCGAUAAAGAAGAAGAAGAGAUUUAUGGUUCUAAGGCUAAGUAUAGUGAGUGAUCUUUUCUUAAAAGUAUUUAUAUGAUUUCAAACAUGUUUCAUAAUGUUUAAAGUUUGAUUUGAUGACUAUGAUAUUGAUUAAGAAAUGGUUUUCAAACCAUUAGUUGCUUCCUUGAAUAAGCUAAUUGUUAUGUGCAUAUAAGGUUAAAUGCAGCCAUGUAGAAAAGGCAUGCAUGGUGAGUGAAGUCGGCCAAUGUAAAAAAGGAUUGCAUUGUGUUAGACGACCUAAGCAACAAGGAAAAUAUGUAUGUUCUCAUAUGCUAUUGAUAUAGUAGUCUAAACGUGAGGUAAUGAGAUCAAGCGUAGAGAACAAUUUGAGAUCCUUGGCGAAGGGAAUAAUUGUGACUAAUGGGUGUUUAUGCUAAAUGCAUUUUGAUGUGAUUUGCAAGUUGAUUUGAUUCUAUUGUAAAAAUGAUUAUAUGCAUUUUGAUAUGUUUUGAGAAAUUAUGUGUUUAUUGAUAAACUUAUUUGUGUUAAAAUGUAUGUUUUGGGGAAAAUGAUUUAUGGAAAGAUAUUGCGAAAACCUCACAAAGUCUUUUAGCCUUAUGUUUUAAAAUUUCAUUUUCCAAGAUCAGACAUUUAUGUCAAGUAGAGAAGAAGGUUGAAGGACGCGGCUUGCAGCGAGUUAGACAAAACUAUGAGGCGUUGUAUGAAACGCAUGUUGUUAAUAAAGCCUAUAGCGAUAUUUUAGAUUCAAAAUAAUUAAGUAUAUAACAAUAUUUUAAAAAAUUUGCAAAUAUAGCAAAAUUUGUCCAAUUCUAUCAAUGAUAAAAGUCUAUCACCAAAUAUGGUCUAUCAUUGAUACAUCAUAUGAGUCGAUCAACGAUAGUUUUGGUAUAUUUGUAAUUUUUUUAAAAUCUUGUUAUAUCCUUAAUUAUUAUUGCUCAAAUGACCAUCAAUUACAAUUACAAAAAAAAGUAAUAUAUUUGUUUUCGAUUUCUUGAUGGGUUUAGAAUUUUAUUGAUGGGUUUAGGGUUUCUUGAUGGAGAAAGACAAAAAAAAAAAAAAAAAAGAAUGCCCGUUAAGAAGCUUUUUUUUUUUUUUUUAAUUUUAAUUAUGGGUUUAAGAUAAGACCUUGGGCAAGACCCGUAAAAAAUGAAAUCUUAAUGGGCAUUGCUCCUUAAGAAAAAACUAUUUCCUUGCACAAAAUUUGGACCUUUGUUAACAGGUUUAGAAAACACGAUAUUUAUCAAUAAUAUUUUUAAAGCUACUUUUUUUUCCAAUUAUUACUGUCUAUACAUCAAUAAGACAAUAUUACUUUUUAGAAAAAGUUAACUGAUAUAAUUAUAAUUAGAUUAAAAUAAGUUACUUUAUCAAAAUUAAAUUAGUUAUUGUGUUCAACUUUAAUGAGUUGAAUUGAAAGUUUGUAAUUUAAGAUUGGUAGAAGUUGUAAAACAUGAAUUUAACUCAACCGACACCUGUAUAUAUCUGUAGAUAAGAGGUCUCAAGUUCAUAUGAGGAAAUCAAGAGCGUAAAGAUGUCAAUUAGCACAAACCUAAGGUAGGUGUGAGAAAAUAAAAGAAAAUCUAUUCUUUUUUUUUCAUAAAAUAGAAAAAAAGAAUAAGUCAUUUAUUACAUAUUUUGGCCAUCAAGAAAACGAUUUUUUUAUGGAUUUUUCAAUUUCCUUAAUGGGUAAAAAACAUCAAAGUCACCUUUUUUUAAUGGUCAAUACGUUUUUUUUAUGGUUGGGCUUUCUUGAUGUAUGUCUACUUGAUACUUGAUUGGCAAAGACUAUCAAGGUAGACAUUUUUUAAUGUGUUUUGCAUAUCAAAGAAGGUCAAAUUUGUACUGGUGAGGGCAGAUUUAUUAAGGAGUCGGAGUAUGUGCCCCCUUACAUUCUUGAUUUUUGUAUUUUAAUAUUAAUUUUGAAGUGUUAAAUUACAAUAUAUAUUAAAUAAUCUUUACUAAAUUCUGGUUCCGGUAUAGUGGUUGUGCCCCUCCUACAAAACCAUAAGAUUCUAGGUUGAUCCAAACUUCCACUCUCUUAGCAAUAUUCUAUGAAAAUGUAUUAUUCUUUUUUUCUUUUUUUUUUUUUUUUUGUUUUUAAUGCAAUUUUUAAAUUCACAUAUUUACAUUACAAAAAAUCAUGUGAAAAUUAUCAGUUUUUCUUUAUUGCUACAAAUGUAAUAAAUGUUAUUGGAGCAUUAGUGAAACAUCGAGAUAUUUUUUUUACAUUUUUAAUGUGUUUAUUAUAGAGUGUUUGAUGUCACUUUGUAUAAGAUUUAUGGUUCUGCCACUGUCAAUGAUAGAAACGGUCUAUAAAUGCCAUUAAUAGAAGGAUAUUAGUGUCUAUCAAUGUGUAUUAUUGAUAGAAUCUGAAAAUUUUACUAUAUGUUUUAAAUAUUUUGUCAAAUUUAUUAUUUUUGACAAUUUCCCAAAUUUCUAUUCCUGAUUUUAAAUUUUCCAAACAUUUCUUCCCUACAAAAAGUAAACAACAUGACUAAAUGAAGUUUAAAUACGUUUAAGAUGGUGACUUAUUACGAUUAGUCUAUCAAUAAAAUUUUGUUUUAACUGAACCAUUUUUUUUUUAUUAGAAAGGUGGCCAAAAUCCUUAUAUUCAUUUUGGUGUUUUGUUAACAACUGAUAUAUGAAAACAAAAACAAAAAAAUCAAAAUUAAAAACAAAAACAAAAAGAUUAAAAAUUAAAAAGAAUGGUGAGUGUUGGAUGCAAUGGGUAGCAUCCAAGAGAGUGGAGAUAUUUUUGCUCAAACGAGACCAAAUUCUUGAGAUACAACUUGAUCGUUGAUAUUUCCGCCUAUAACAUGACACAUGGACAAUUAGCUAAAAUGACAGUCCACAGGUGGCGCCACCUCAACCUAAAUCCCAUAACUCGUAAUUCUCACAACUACCAGCACCGUCCGUUCUACGUCUUGGCCAUCCCAGAUUACAACACGUGGAUCUAAACAGUGGUGACGGUUAGUUUAAGUAUCUUCAAAUAACAGCCGGUUAAGAAUUAGCGGGGUUUUUGUCACCCUCACUGUUCAUUAUCUUCUACUGCAAAAUUCCAGUCUCCUCGUUCCAGCCUCACGAACCUUGGCGAGUGUGAAGGGGUUUUGAUUUGUUUCGUCAAGGUUCUCCCAUGGAGUCGAUUGGUUGUAGUUUGAGUUCUUUAUCGUUGGCUCCUUUCAGGGCGAAGAGUUUUUCGGUUCAGGAGAUGUUAUUUGGGCCUUGCCGGAGACCUUCAUUGCCGAUACUUCAUGCAUCGGUGGCUCAAAGCUUUCCCGAGCUUCGAAAAUCUACUUCUAUUGCUGCUAGUGGUACCUUGAUGGCCAAUUCCGUGCCGGUGUGUUGUUCUUUCUGUUUUUUUCGUCUUUUUAUGUGUUAGUAAUGGUGGAUUCGAGUUGCUUGAUUUUUUUUUAUUUAUUAAUCCAUCAAUAGAGAUCUUUAUAGAGAAGACACUUUUCUUUAUUUUCUAUGACAUCUUCUGGUCUUGCUGGAGAUGUGAAAAGGAUGGGAAGCAUGUUGCUGUUUUAUUGAAUAACCGCAUUUCUCUAACUUGUUCUAAUCUUUUAAUUUUUUCCAGGGUGUUAAGAAAUUUAUUCUUCUCUUUUUAAAAUCUUUAUAUGCAGUCUGGAACUGGUGUAUACAUAGUUGGUGACUUUAUGACUAGGAAAGAGGAGUUGCAUGUUGUGAAGCCCACAACCAGUGUUGAUGAAGGUAGUUGAAAUUUGUGAAUAUUUUCGUCCAACCUAUUGGCAAAAUGUGGCUUAUUGUGUCUGUUUAUUCAUACAGCAUUAGAAAUUCUGGUGGAGAAAAGGAUCACAGGAUUUCCAGUUAUUGAUGACAAUUGGAAAUUGGUAUCAUUUCAUUUCCCAUAUUUAUUAGAGACAUUUCUUUACUGUAGUUAUGUUUUAUUUUGUUGGCCUCUUUGAAGUAUUUCUGGUUAUCUAACAUCCACAUAUUGCCCCACAAAAUGUUUCUCUGAAGUUGUUGAGUUUUGUUCAGGAUUUUGCAUCAAAUUGUUUACUUGAAUUAUCAAGUUUUCACUUUUCCACUAUGACUUGUAUUACCAUGAGAGAAUCCAAUUUUUUGUCUGUUUCUCAUCAGAAUUAAACUGGGAAAGCAUAUGUGUUCACCCAACAAUUUGUUUUGAAUGUCUUAUUGAACUUGCGACAGAUGGUACUCAUGUUGCUUAUUGCUCUAUACAAGUCAAUCCUUUCCCAUUUUUUUCAGUUCCUGUUCAGGACUAAUGCAACCUUUAGUGCUUAUAAUCUGUGUGAAUGAAGGUCUGAUGUGUUCUUUUUUGUGUUUAUAUGUAUGUGUGCGCUCCCUCAGACACCAUUAUCUGAAUUAUCAAUGAAGAGUGUGGUUGAUUUAAAUGGCCCAAUGAUACUUAAUCAUCGAUGCUCAUAAUAGAAAUUACUUCUUGAUGCAGGUUGGUGUAGUUUCUGACUAUGACUUGUUAGCACUAGAUUCCAUCUCAGGUAAGUUGUCUUUUAUCUUUGGUGAUUACUUCGUCAUUAGCUCCAAUUCUUUUUCAGAAAAGAAAAGAAUUUAGCUUUUCUAGAUUUUAUAUUUCGAUAACUCAAGUUUCUAUGCUCCACACUCUAUACUUGUUUGAAAGGUUAGUAUUGACUUUUUUGCAUGUAUUGAUUUUUUCCCAAUUUUUUCUUUAUAUGAAAGAUAGAUAGUAUCAUUUCAUCAACUUAACGAGCAAAUAUUUGCAGUUAGGAAAGAGGGUGAAGAAUUUGGCUAAGUCUUGAUUGUUAUUGUGAAAUUUGAGAAGCAAGAAUAAAGGUCAAAAUGUCAUUUUUGUUUCUGUAAUUUGGGUUCCAUUUGAUUUUAGUUCCUACACUUUAAAAAAAUAUAAAAUUUAGUCAUUUAAAAUUAAUUUUUAUCCAGAGUGAUUAAAUAAUAAUAAUUUUCAUGGAAGUGAACUAAAUUUAUUGAUAGUACAUGAACUAAAUUUGGCAUAUGUGGAAGUAUAGGGAUUAAAAUGGAACGAAUCCUUAAGUGCAAGGACCAAAAUUAUAUUUUAACCACAAUUAAAUUGUCUUGCACCAAGAAAAUACUGAUUUACUUCUCUAUUAGAAAUGGACAAAUGGUUGUAG
rnacentral:lncRNA from 1 species